GUGCAGCAGGCGAGAAUAGUCUACAAUGGACGAAAGUCUGAUAGUGCGACGCCGUGUGUGCGAUUAAUUCCUUCGGGAUGUAAAGCACUUUUCUAUGAGAUAAAAGCUCUUUAGGUUAAUAGCUUAUUGAGACGGAUAUUAUUAUAGGAAUAAGCUCCGGCUAACUCCGUGCCAGCAGCCGCGGUAAUACGGAAGGAGCGAGCGUUGUCCGGAUUUACUAGGCGUAAAGGGCUAGUAGGCGACUAAUUAAGUUAUAUGUUAAAUCCCACGGCUCAACUGUGGUCCUGCAUGUAAUACUGGUUAGAUAGAGUACUGUAGAGGAAGGCAGAAUUCCUGGAGUAGCGGUGGAAUGCGCAGACAUCAGGAAGAAUACCAAAAGCGAAGGCAGCCUUCUGGGCAGUUACUGACGCUGAAUAGCGAAGGUGUGGGUAGCGAACAGGAUUA
rnacentral:rRNA from 1 species